rnacentral:misc_RNA from 1 species
UAUAUAUAUAUAUAUAUAUUUGGUGUGAACAUAUGUUGUCACAGAACUUGACUCAAAUAUUACAGUUUUCUCCUCCUAUACAUAUCUGCUGAAGGGUGAAUAAAUAAAAACACAAAUAAAAGUCAAGACUUUCUUCAACAUCAUCUCUUUUUUUUUCUUUUCUUGUUUUUUUGUUUUGUUUUUCUCAUUCUUUUCUUCUAAAUAAAAGAGAAAAAGAAAAGGAUGGAUAGUUAAAAUUAGUGAUGGCGAAGCUCUGCAGCCAGAAGGAGAACUUCAUCUGUGAGCAGUGACCAGAGUUUCAAUAAACCUCAACCCAUCAAACCUUGGUGCAAAUUUGUCUGUGGAAGGUGAUUUCUGUUGAUGUUUCUUUGAGCUAGCUUCCUACAAGAGGAAUCAGACAAUAAUUAAUAUCAAGAAAAAAAAAUAAAAACCAUGUUGGAAUUCAAAUUGAAAAAGAGUUGGGUCUAAUUUGAUUGGGGAAAAAUGAAUAAAUUUAAAAUCUAAAGAAUACCCAUAAAAGGGAAGCCUCAAAAUCCCAAAUCUCAAGAAAAUCAAUCAAUUCGGAGAAUUUUAAGCAAAAUUCCAAACUUCUCAAGUAUCAAAAUCGAAACAAGAAAAGCAGAGCAUGUAAACCAACAACCAAAACAGAGAAUCAAAAAGGGGGGAAAAAGAGGAAAAGAAAAAGAAGCAGCAGGCCUCAGAUUUUCCAAAGAAGAGAGAAAAAUAAUUAUUUUCAAGACUUACCUCAGGAGAAAGCUGCAUAUUAGAAUUACAGCUAAAAUUUGAGGUGGAAGAAGAAGAGGAAGCAGAUAUAGCAGUAGCAGAAGCAGCAGCAACAGAAGCAGCGAAGAGGCCUGAUUUCUUCAUUGAUUUUGAGAGAUGGGGAAUUGGAAUUGUAGUAACUUGGUUCUGGUAAACGCCCGAGAAAAUUGCUUGUUUGGUUUCUUGGAAAGAAAAGUUGAAAAGAGAAAUAAUCAAAGGCAUGAGGGGUGGUG